UACGUAGGGGGCAAGCGUUGUCCGGAUUUACUGGGCGUAAAGAGCGUGUAGGCGGCCAGACAGGUCCGUUGUGAAAACUCGAGGCUCAACCUCGAGAUGUCGAUGGAAACCGUCUGGCUAGAGUCCGGAAGAGGAGUGUGGAAUUCCUGGUGUAGCGGUGAAAUGCGCAGAUAUCAGGAAGAACACCUAUGGCGAAGGCAGCACUCUGGGACGGUACUGACGCUGAGACGCGAAAGCGUGGGGAGCGAACAGG
rnacentral:rRNA from 1 species